AUUUAAUAGAACCUUAAAUUCUAACCAAAUCCUAAUCCUAAUCCAACCUUAAUCAAAUCCUAGAAAAACCCUAAAUCCUAAACCAAAUCCUAAUUAAACCUUAAUCCCUAACCAAACCCUAAUUAAACCUUAAUCCCUAACCAAACCCUAAUCCAAACUCUAAACCCUAAACCCUAAACCAAAUCCUAAUCCAAACCCUAAAUCCUAAAUCAAAUCCUAUCCAAAUCCUAAAUCCUAAACCAAAUCCUAAUCCAAACCCUAAAUCCUAAAUCAAACCCUAAACCCUAAAUC
rnacentral:lncRNA from 1 species